rnacentral:rRNA from 1 species
AUGAAUGUGUUGCGGUUGGAAUCACGCAUGGACAACGAUGUUGCUUAUCUUGCCCGACUGAAGGCGGCGAUGACUCGGGUUGAUGCUGAACUCUGGCCUCAGGUGGAACUCUCACAAGACCUCGAGUCUGUGAUGGCUCGACUGAAUCAAAUACCUGACCGAGUGCAAGAAUGGAAGAAAUCAUCUGCUCGCUGUGGCGCUGACGUCUCCCUGUCAUUGGUCCGAGUGCACUGCAAGGAUGUCAGAAAAGACAAGCUGGCGAAACUCAAGGUUGUGAACACCAAAAAGCACACUUUCUAG